UAAAUGGUAUCUAUAGUGGUUGAAAUACAAACUAGGAAGUGCCCACUAGAGGCAGUUUUAGUCCUGUGAUGUAAUUAUUGCAGUUUCUCAAAAACUGCAAUGAUUUACAUUGCAGAACUAAGUGGGACUGGGACACUUCACUCAGACCACUUUAAUGAGAUGAAGUUUAAUGAGUUUCCCUUUAAGCCCCCAUAUUUAUAUAAAGGAUGAAUGAAUAAAUGAAAAAUACAAUUGGAAUAAUUUAUGUAAGUAAAAGUUAUCUAUGAAUAGCAUUUCUAUACAUGAAAUUGCUGUUUGAUUACUGUUCAUCAGAGUUUACUCUAAAUUGUGUUUUAAACAGAAAUUCAGUCGUGAAGUGGUUAAUUUCAGGCACUAUUCCAGAGGUAAAGAAAGUGCUUAGCACUUCCAGCUCUAUUACCUCUUUCAGCCUUUUGGAACUGAAAUGAUUGACAGAUUUAAUAUUUUGCUAUUUGACAGUGUGUUUUAUUAAGAUGUGAUACAGAGGAUUUCCCCACCCCAUUUUUCUUGAGGGCUUAGUGUACUUUAUACACUGUUUAUUGCUUAAAACUCAAUUAUUGAUGCACCUUUUUAGCAGAUAGUUUUAUAGUAGACAAGGGCUUAGUGUAUUUUGUGAAAAUAUUAUUUUUUCAAUGAUAUUUUAACUGCAAAAGUCUUUGAUACAAUAUAGUUUGUAUUGGAGAUCUUGAGGGGCACCUGUACACGUCUUUGUGGUAUUUUAUAAGCUUUUAUCAAUUGUUGAAAUAAAACCGUAAAAAAAUGUAAACUUUUAAGAUGUCAUUCAUCAGACUCUGC